GCGGCGUGAACCGAAGAGGAGAGAAUGUGUGGCGAGCAGUGUUUUGGUUACAUGUCUGAGAUUGGUUUGCUGUUCUAUGAAGUUAACAGCAGUAGUGUAUUAUUUAUUCAUGAAUAUACAUGAAGUAUGUUAUUGAAGUGAAUUACACAUUUAUUUUGUAAAUCAUGAAUGUCUAUGUUAGAAAUAAUUUGUGUAUUUUAAUAACAAAUGUCAUACUAAAAAGAGAUACUGUUAUAAAAUAUGAAUAGGGCACCUCAAAGCUUUUGGUCCAUUGUCUCUCAGAAAGCUGAUUUAUGGCACAAUACACAUUUUCUACAAAAGUGUUCAUUUUUUUUUCCCAAUUUUAAUUUAUUAACAACCGAACAACAACAGGGUGUGGAUCUCUGGAUUAAUUUAAACCUUGCUGUUAAUCUAAUGCUUCUGGUACUAUUUAUGAUACACGCCAGUUUGUAAAAUGUUUUGUGCUUCAGAAUAUCACGUGAUGGCUGAGGCGCCAUCAAUCUGCGGGUGACCUCCAAAUAUCACCGGACCUUUUAGACCUUUACAAGAUACAACGGAUGAUGACCUGGCAACGAUCCCGCAAAGAAAGAUCAUUCCCGGCCACAGUCUGGGAGCUUGAGGGAGAUACUGUACAGCAGCCUGGAACCAAAGGCCUGUGAUCAGAAACAGCAGGGCUCUAAUCUGAACCUUAGCUCCAGGGAACAGGAAAUGACUCUGACCAGACAAGAUCAGGAAGGCCAUCAUAAUAACAGCACCUCCUGCCUGAGAGUUUUACAGACAGGUCGAACAGCCAUGUUAACAAGGUGGAUCUCUGGCCUGCUGGUUAGGGUGAGCUGUGAUGUGACAGGACCCAAGGGUGCGCAAAGUCAAGUUGUAGCCUAACUCCGAGCUACUCUUUCUCCUUCUCCCCAUCUCCUCCGCCCUGCAGGAUUAGCAAGAUUAUUAUUUUUGUAGAGAAAUAAUAAUAACAAUUUAAAAAAAAAGAGUUUUACUACUGUACAGCUUUUGUAUAAGAACAGACGGUAAGGUGUUCCAGUGUUUUUGUUCGACCUCAACUGUGCUGUGUGUAAUUGUUUUAUGCAUUUACAAUCAUAUUUAUUAAAUGGAAAGACGUCUGUUAACUGUGUUCUCAUUUUCUUACAAUAUUUGUAAAGAAAUACUAUGUAUUUGCAAAAGUAAUAAUCAACCUAUAAAGAAAACAAGACAA